GGAUCAGAGAGGACACGUGCAGUAUUCCUGUGAGGAGACAGACCACAGAAAAGCCCUUCUUACCGUGACGUGUCUCUCUGUAAAACAUGGACUGUAAAUAGGACCCCAGGGCCAGACUACACCAUUUGGAAGAUGUCUCCAUCUUUCACCUCAGUGAUGCACAAAAGACACCUUCUCUCCCCAGAUGCAGAGCAUCCAAGGAGCCCUGCCACGAAGACGCCAC